GGGUAACCAAGCUCCACUUCGCCACAAGCCCACGCAGGGCCCCUCUCGACCGCCUCUGCGCCUCACCCUGGAUCGGCGCUCCUAUCUCUGCCAAUCUGGCCUGAAGCUCCUGCGCAGCCCAGGCUCCAUAGUGGCCUGGAGGUGGAGGCGGUGGCAACUGCAACUCUCCUUUGGGAGGUUCGGGAUGCUCCGCCGCCAUCUUAGCCACAAGAAGGCGCGAGACCAACACGGAAGCUCGGGUCAGCCGCCGGGCCUACUUCCAGAAACUUCCGGUUGCGUAAUCCACGUCCCGCGGUGAUUGGAGAGAACUUGGUCCAAACACACGCCCUUUCCCUUACCGGGGAAUAGGAAUCGCCGCCAACGGAGGUUGCAGAGCCUUCUGGGAGUUGUAGUUUGCGGAUGCGCCAUCUAGAGGACGAACGCUCGCUAUGACAUCCGGUAUGCAGCAGUAGUAAUACAUCCGCUGCCUGGCUGCAAGAGCUUACUCUACCCAGAGCAGAUGCAUUCUUCUUCUCUCCUGGCCAAACACAUACUAAGUCUUCUGUCCCGACACCCUUCAAUGAUGAGAGACCUGGGUGCUUAUUUCUCCUAGGAGCUCAUAGAGAUUCCUUUCCGGCGCCCGAAUGGGAGGUUGGUGCCGAUGGCUCUGAUAAAACAGUGUUUGUCUGCUCACUCCCGCCCAGGCGUGCUUGAAUGGGCUGAAAGGGGAUCGGAGCCGGUGGAGGAACGGACCGCCAAGCUGAGUUCCAGCUGCUGACCUGGGGGAAGGGCACUGCUAAAAUAAAAUCCCCUUUUGCACCUUC
rnacentral:lncRNA from 1 species